rnacentral:rRNA from 1 species
UACAGAGGGUGCGAGCGUUGUUCGGAAUUAUUGGGCGUAAAGGGCGCGUAGGCGGGCUUUUAAGUCAGGGGUGAAAUCCUGGAGCUCAACUCCAGAACUGCCUUUGAUACUGAGGAUCUUGAGUUCGGGAGAGGUGAGUGGAACUGCGAGUGUAGAGGUGAAAUUCGUAGAUAUUCGCAAGAACACCAGUGGCGAAGGCGGCUCACUGGCCCGAUACUGACGCUGAGGCACGAAAGCGUGGGGAGCAAACAGG